rnacentral:rRNA from 1 species
UGGGGAAUCUUGCGCAAUGGCCGAAAGGCUGACGCAGCGACGCCGCGUGUGGGAUGAAGGUCUUCGGAUUGUAAACCACUGUCGGGAGGGACGAAGCUCUGACGGUACCUCCAAAGGAAGCACCGGCUAACUCUGUGCCAGCAGCCGCGGUAAUACAGAGGGUGCGAGCGUUGUCCGGAAUCACUGGGCGUAAAGGGCGCGUAGGCGGCCUGGUAAGUCGGGGGUGAAACGCUGCGGCUCAACCGCAGCACUGCCUUCGAGACUGCCGGGCUUGAGCACGGUAGGGGCUGGUGGAAUUCCCGGUGUAGCGGUGGAAUGCGUAGAGAUCGGGAAGAACAUCGGUGGCGAAGGCGGCCAGCUGGGCCGUUGCUGACGCUGAGGCGCGACAGCGUGUGGAGCAAACAGG